AACGAACGCUGGCGGCAGGCCUAACACAUGCAAGUCGAACGCCCUCUUCGGAGGGAGUGGCAGACGGGUGAGUAACGCGUGGGAACCUUCCCUGUGGUACGGAAUAACUCAGAGAAAUUUGAGCUAAUACCGUAUACGCCCUUCGGGGGAAAGAUUUAUCGCCAUAGGAUGGGCCCGCGUCGGAUUAGCUAGUUGGUGAGGUAAUGGCUCACCAAGGCAACGAUCCGUAGCUGGUCUUAGAGGAUGAUCAGCCACACUGGGACUGAGACACGGCCCAGACUCCUACGGGAGGCAGCAGUGGGGAAUAUUGGACAAUGGGCGCAAGCCUGAUCCAGCCAUGCCGCGUGAGUGACGAAGGCCUUAGGGUUGUAAAGCUCUUUCACCGGUGAAGAUAAUGACGGUAGCCGGAGAAGAAGCCCCGGCUAACUCCGUG
rnacentral:rRNA from 1 species